AUCCAAGGAUGGGAAUCGAACCCAUAGUGUUCCGCUUACCGGGCAGAUGCCAUGUCCACUAGGCUACCCUGGA
rnacentral:tRNA from 1 species